UACGUAGGGGGCUAGCGUUGUCCGGAAUCAUUGGGCGUAAAGAGCGUGUAGGCGGUCCGGUAAGUCCGCUGUGAAAGUCGGGGGCUCAACCCUCGAAUGCCGGUGGAUACUGUCGGGCUAGAGUGCGGAAGAGGCGAGUGGAAUUCCUGGUGUAGCGGUGAAAUGCGCAGAUAUCAGGAGGAACACCUAUUGCGAAGGCAGCUCGCUGGGACGUAACUGACGCUGAGGAGCGAAAGUGUGGGGAGCGAACAGG
rnacentral:rRNA from 1 species